rnacentral:rRNA from 1 species
UACGUAGGGGGCAAGCGUUGUCCGGAUUCAUUGGGCGUAAAGGGUGUGUAGGUGGCGCCGUAAGUCGGGUGUGAAAUUUCGGAGCUUAACUCCGAAACUGCAUUCGAUACUGCGGUGCUUGAGGACUGGAGAGGAGACUGGAAUUCAUGGUGUAGCAGUGAAAUGCGUAGAGAUCAUGAGGAAGACCAGUGGCGAAGGCGGGUCUCUGGACAGUUCCUGACACUGAGACACGAAGGCCAGGGGAGCAAACGGG